GAGCUCAGUGGCAGAGAUUCUGCUUUGCAUGUAGAAGGUCCCAGGUUCAAUCCCCGGCGUCUCCA